AACGAACGCUGGCGGCAUGCCUAACACAUGCAAGUCGAACGAGACCUUCGGGUCUAGUGGCGCACGGGUGCGUAACGCGUGGGAACCUGCCCUUAGGUUCGGAAUAACUCCCCGAAAGGGGUGCUAAUACCGGAUAAUGUCUUCGGACCAAAGAUUUAUCGCCUUUGGAUGGGCCCGCGUUGGAUUAGCUAGUUGGUAGGGUAAAAGCCUACCAAGGCGACGAUCCAUAGCUGGUCUGAGAGGAUGAUCAGCCACACUGGGACUAGACACGGCCCAGACUCCUACGGGAGGCAGCAGUGGGGAAUAUUGGACAAUGGGCGAAAGCCUGAUCCAGCAAUGCCGCGUGAGUGAUGAAGGCCUUAGGGUUGUAAAGCUCUUUUACCCGGGAUGAUAAUGACAGUACCGGGAGAAUAAGCUCCGGCUAACUCCGUG
rnacentral:rRNA from 1 species